rnacentral:rRNA from 1 species
AGAGUUUGAUCCUGGCUCAGGAUGAACGCUAGCGACAGGCCUAACACAUGCAAGUCGAGGGGCAUCACAGAGUGGCAAUACUUGGGUGGCGACCGGCGCACGGGUGAGUAACGCGUAUGCAACCUACCUACAACAGGGGGAUAACCCGGAGAAAUUCGGACUAAUACCGCAUAAAACAGGGGUCCCGCAUGGGAAUAUUUGUUAAAGAUUUAUCGGUUGUAGAUGGGCAUGCGUUCCAUUAGUUAGUUGGCGAGGUAACGGCUCACCAAGACGUCGAUGGAUAGGGGAACUGAGAGGUUUGUCCCCCACACUGGAACUGAGACACGGACCAGACUCCUACGGGAGGCAGCAGUGAGGAAUAUUGGUCAAUGGACGAGAGUCUGAACCAGCCAAAUCGCGUGAAGGAAGACUGCCCUACGGGUUGUAAACUUCUUUUGUACAGGAAUAAAAGACAUUACGUGUAAUGUAUUGCAUGUACUGUACGAAUAAGCAUCGGCUAACUCCGUGCCAGCAGCCGCGGUAAUACGGAGGAUGCGAGCGUUAUCCGGAUUUAUUGGGUUUAAAGGGUGCGCAGGCGGGAUUUUAAGUCAGCGGUGAAAUUUUCAGGCUCAACCUGAACACUGCCGUUGAAACUGGGGUUCUUGAGUAUGGAUGAAGUAGGCGGAAUUCGUUGUGUAGCGGUGACAUGCUUAGAUAUAACGAGGAACUCCGAUUGCGUAGGCAGCUUACUAAGCCAUAACUGACGCUCAAGCACGAAAGCGUGGGGAUCAAACAGGAUUAGAUACCCUGGUAGUCG